rnacentral:hammerhead_ribozyme from 1 species
AUUCAACUGACGGGUCUUAAAUAGGACGAAACGCGCAUCUUAGAU